GCUACAAUGCAGUCGAGCGAUGAUCCGGGGCUUGGACCGGGGAUGAGUGGCGAACGGGGGAGUAACACGUGAGUAACCUGCCCUUGACUCUCGGAUAUGCCUGGGAAACCGGGUCUAUUACCGGAUACGACCUUUCACCGCACGGGGGUUGGUGGAAAGAUUUUUUGGUUUUGGAUGGACUCGCGGCCUAUCACCUUGUUGGUGAGGUAAUGGCUCACCAAGGCUACCAAGGUAGCCGGCCUGAGAGGGUGACCGGCCACACUGGGACUGAUACACGGCCCAGACUCCUACGGGAGGCACGGUGGGGAAUAUUGCACAAUGGGCGAAAGCCUGAUGCAGCGACCCCACGUGAGGGAUGACGGCCUUCGGGGUGUAAACCUCUUUCAGCAGGGAAGAAGCGAAAGUGACGGUACCUGCAGAAUAAGCGCCGGCUAACUACGUGCCAGCAGCCGCGGUAAUACGUAAGGCGCUGCGUUGUCCGGAAUUAUUGGGCGUAAAGAGCUCGUAGGCCGUUUGUCGCGUCUGCUGUGAAAGCCCGGGGCUCAUCCCCGGGUCUGCAGUGGGUACGGGCAGACUAGAGUGCAGGAGGGGAGACUGGAAUUCCUGGUGUAUGGGUAAAAUGAGCAUAUAUCUCGAGGAACACCGAUGAAAUGCGCAGGUCUCUGGGCUGUAACUGACGCUGAGGAGCACUCUCUUGUCUAGCGAACACGAUUAGAUACCCUGGUAUGCCAUGCCAAAAACAUUGGAUACUAUGUGUGGGGGACAUUCCACGUUUUCCGCGCCGUAGCUAGAGCAUUACCUGCCUCUCCUGCUGCAGUACAGCCGCAAGGCUAAUCACUCAUAGGGAAUUGACGGCGGGACCACUACAAAGCUCACGAGAGACAUGCGCGAUGUAAUCUCGCAUGCAACGCGGAAAGAACCGUUGACCAUAGUUUUGACGUGGCAGCGGGACACGCCUUCACCANGUGCUUGAUCUCCUUCUGGAGACCGCUAUACAUGAUGGUGUCANCGNUUGUCGGUCAGCUACGUGAUCGNGAGAUGCUUGGGUGACGUCCGCUACUGAUCGCAGCNGUCGNNCUA
rnacentral:rRNA from 1 species